GAUGAACGCUGGCGGCGUGCCUAAUACAUGCAAGUCGAGCGAACGGACGAGAAGCUUGCUUCUCUGAUGUUAGCGACGGACGGGUGAGUAACACGUGGAUAACCUACCUAUAAGACUGGGAUAACUUCGGGAAACCGGAGCUAAUACCGGAUAAUAUUUUGAACCGCAUGGUUCAAAAGUAAAAGACGGUCUUGCUGUCACUUAUAGAUGGAUCCGCGCUGCAUUAGCUAGUUGGUAAGGUAACGGCUUACCAAGGCAACGAUGCAUAGCCGACCUGAGAGGGUGAUCGGCCACACUGGAACUGAGACACGGUCCAGACUCCUACGGGAGGCAGCAGUAGGGAAUCUUCCGCAAAGGGCGAAAGCCUGACGGAGCAACGCCGCGUGAGUGAUGAAGGUCUUCGGAUCGUAAAACUCUGUUAUUAGGGAAGAACAUAUGUGUAAGUAACUGUGCACAUCUUGACGGUACCUAAUCAGAAAGCCACGGCUAACUACGUG
rnacentral:rRNA from 1 species